GGGUCGGCGGUUCGAUCCAGUUGGUAGAGCAGUUGACUUUUAAUCAAUUGGUCGCAGGUUCGAAUCCUGCACGACCCACCA
rnacentral:tRNA from 1 species